rnacentral:misc_RNA from 1 species
GGAUAUAAGCAAAUAUAUUUUCAUGGGUACAUGAAGAAUCAUGCCAAACUCACAACAAAACUCUCAGAAUAUCUUGCUGUCGUGUUCAUCUGGACACAAUAGCUCUUAACACAAAAGCAUCUCAAGCAGCUCAAAUGAAAGAGUCAUGAAAAUACACAUGUCAGAAGACUAAAUAAAGUGUACUACUAGUAUUUUAAAAGUAGGCAACUCCAAGACAGCCUGCACGGGUAAGACAAUCACUAACUCACUCGUGUUUCCACAGCAACUAUUCUCCAGCCACUAUCAUUGAAGUGGCUCUUGUUGUGGAGUUGUGGCUUGGUGGGGAGUUACUCCAGGUCCAGGUGCAAUUGUGACUUGCAAGCUCCGCCGUUGCCCUGCCUGCAGCAUGAAUGCAAC